UACGGGGGGGGCAAGCGUUGUUCGGAAUUACUGGGCGUAAAGCGUGCGUAGGCGGUUUGUUAAGACAGGUGUGAAAUCCCCGGGCUUAACCUGGGAACUGCGCUUGUUACUGGCAGACUGGAGUGUGGCAGAGGGGGGUGGAAUUCCAGGUGUAGCAGUGAAAUGCGUAGAUAUCUGGAGGAACACCGAUGGCGAAGGCAGCCCCCUGGGCUAACACUGACGCUGAUGCACGAAAAGCGUGGGGGAGCAAACAGG
rnacentral:rRNA from 1 species